UACGGAGGGUGCGAGCGUUGUUCGGAUUUAUUGGGCGUAAAGCGCGCGCAGGCGGAUAUACAAGUCAGAUGUGAAAUCUCGGGGCUCAACCCCGAAACUGCGUCUGAAACUGUUUAUCUAGAGUCUCGGAGAGGGAGGUGGAAUAUCGCAUGUAGGGGUAAAAUCCGUAGAGAUGCGAUGGAACAUCGGAGGCGAAGGCGACCUCCUGGACGAGUACUGACGCUGAGGCGCGAAAGCGUGGGGAGCAAACAGG
rnacentral:rRNA from 1 species